ACAGAGGUGGCAAGCGUUGUUCGGAAUUACUGGGCGUAAAGGGCGCGUAGGCGGUUCGUUAAGUCCUGUGUGAAAUCCCCCGGCUCAACUGGGGAACUGCACAGGAAACUGGCUGACUUGAGUUCGGGAGAGGGAAGCGGAAUUCCGGGUGUAGCGGUGAAAUGCGUAGAUAUCCGGAGGAACACCGGUGGCGAAGGCGGCUUCCUGGACCGAUACUGACGCUGAGGCGCGAAAGCUAGGGGAGCAAACGGGAUUAGAUACCCCGGUAGUCCUAGCUGCAAACGAUGAGUGCUGGGUGUAGGGGGUAUUAACCCCUCCUGUGCCGAAGCUAACGCAUUAAGCACUCCGCCUGGGGAGUACGGUCGCAAGGCUG
rnacentral:rRNA from 1 species